GCAAGUCGAGCGGACAUUUAGGAGCUUGCUCCUAAAUGUUAGCGGCGGACGGGUGAGUAACACGUGGGCAACCUGCCCUGUAGACUGGGAUAACAUCGAGAAAUCGGUGCUAAUACCGGAUAAUCUUGAGGAUCACAUGAUCCUCUUGUAAAAGAUGGCUCCGGCUAUCACUACGGGAUGGGCCCGCGGCGCAUUAGCUAGUUGGUAAGGUAAUGGCUUACCAAGGCGACGAUGCGUAGCCGACCUGAGAGGGUGAUCGGCCACACUGGGACUGAGACACGGCCCAGACUCCUACGGGAGGCAGCAGUAGGGAAUCUUCCGCAAUGGACGAAAGUCUGACGGAGCAACGCCGCGUGAGUGAUGAAGGGUUUCGGCUCGUAAAGCUCUGUUGUUAGGGAAGAACAAGUGUCGUUCAAAUAGGGCGGCACCUUGACGGUACCUAACCAGAAAGCCACGGCUAACUACGUGCCAGCAGCCGCGGUAAUACGUAGGUGGCAAGCGUUGUCCGGAAUUAUUGGGCGUAAAGCGCGCGCAGGCGGUCUCUUAAGUCUGAUGUGAAAUCUCGGGGCUCAACCCCGAGCGGUCAUUGGAAACUGGGAGACUUGAGUACAGAAGAGGAGAGUGGAAUUCCACGUGUAGCGGUGAAAUGCGUAGAUAUGUGGAGGAACACCAGUGGCGAAGGCGACUCUCUGGUCUGUAACUGACGCUGAGGCGCGAAA
rnacentral:rRNA from 1 species